rnacentral:rRNA from 1 species
CCUACGGGGUGCAGCAGUGGGGAAUUUUGGACAAUGGGCGCAAGCCUGAUCCAGCUAUUCCGCGUGUGGGAUGCAGGCCCUCGGGUUGUAAACCACUUUUGUAGAGAACGAAAAGACACCUUUUAAUAAAGGGUGUUGCUGAAGGUACUCUAAGAAUAAGCACCGGCUAAAUACGUGCCAGCAGCCGCGGUAAUACGUAGGGUGCGAACGUUAAUCGGAAUUACGGGGCGGAAAGGGUGCGCAGGCGGUUGAGUAAGACAGAUGUGAAAUCCCCGAGAUUAACUCGGGAAUGGCAUAUGUGACUGCUCUACUAGAGUGUGGCAGAGGGAGGUGAAAUUCCACGUGUAGCAGGGAAAUGCGUAGAUAUGUGGCAGAACACCGAUGGCGAAGGCAGCCUCCUGGGACAUAACUGACGCUCAGGCACGAAAGCGUGGGGAGCAAACAGGAUUAGAUACCCUUGUAGUC